rnacentral:lncRNA from 1 species
CGUCGUUCUCGCUGUGAGGCUGGGGGCUGCGGACGGAAGCGGGACCACCCCUCCCGGGAUGCGAAGCGCGGGGCCGACCCAGAGGAGCCAACUCUGCGGCUCUCGGUGCAGCGAGUCCCCCGGCCCCGCUUCCUGUCGUGCAGAACUGGGCCGCUGUCCCCGAGGGUCUCGAGGGUCUCGGUGCAGCCUCCAGCUAGAGCCGCACCGGAAGCUGGGUGGGCCACGGAGUCGCGAAGCUGAGUUCCGCCAUGGCGCUCCAGGUAAGACGAGCCGUUGCGGACCGACGGACGCCUAGGUCGGGCUUCAGGGUGCAGCGCGAUCCCCGGGGCAACAGGCCCGGGAGGAGCCGUCACCGCCGACUUUGAGCUUGGGUGAGCGCAUCAAGGUCGGCCAGUGCCCAGG